ACGGACACGCCGCCGCCGAUAUCGCCAGCGUCUUGCGUACCUGCGCAAGUCGUCAUCCGCUCAAGCGGACUCGCAGCGCGCAAGGAUGACUGGCUGAACGACCGAAGCGGCAAAGGGUGGUCUUGAUACGAGUUCAUGAGGAUUUGCGGGAGCAGGCGGGCGGUGGAAUCACCUGAAGACCUGAAAGGGACAGUCUUCCAUCUUUCUUGAGUAGCUCUCGCACGAAGGGAGCCGUGCGUGCAAAAACA
rnacentral:misc_RNA from 1 species